UACGUAGGGCGCAAGCGUUGUCCGGAAUUAUUGGGCGUAAAGAGCUCGUAGGCGGCUUGUCGCGUCGGAUGUGAAAGCCCGGGGCUCAACCCCGGGUCUGCAUUCGAUACGGGCAGGCUGGAGUGUGGUAGGGGAGAUCGGAAUUCCUGGUGUAGCGGUGAAAUGCGCAGAUAUCAGGAGGAACACCGGUGGCGAAGGCGGAUCUCUGGGCCAUUACUGACGCUGAGGAGCGAAAGCGUGGGGAGCGAACAGG
rnacentral:rRNA from 1 species